rnacentral:rRNA from 1 species
CGCGCAGGCGGUCCCGCGCGUCGGAGGUGAAAUCCCCGGGCUCAACCCGGGAGCUGCCUCCGAUACGGCGGGGCUUGAGUCCGGGAGAGGGGAGCAGAAUUCCCAGUGUAGCGGUGAAAUGCGUAGAUAUUGGGAGGAACACCGGUGGCGAAGGCGGCUCCCUGGACCGGUACUGACGCUGAGGCGCGAAAGCGUGGGUAGCAAACAGGAUUAGAUACCCUGUAGUCCACGCCGUAAACGAUGGGUGCUUGGUGUCGGGGGUAUCGACCCCUCCGGUGCCGAAGCUAACGCAUUAAGCACCCCGCCUGGGGAGUACGGUCGCAAGGCUGAA